AUCUCUAGAACUUUUUCAUCGAGCAUUAUCAAAACUUGACACCCUCUGAAGAACUGCCGUUUUCCCUAAGCUCCAGGCAGCCAUUCAUCAUACGAAAAUUAGGAAAUUGAGAAAAGCACAGAGAUAACUCCGAAGCACAACUUGGUUCUUGAAGGCAGCCCAAUAGUAGACUUCUUACUGAACAGGAAGUAAUGCUAGCUUUCCAUCCAGAUGUGCAUUAAUUGGGGAGAUACGGCUCUCAAAUUAAUGCCAAUAAAAAAUUCUUCAAUUAACAGUCUGUGGGAACAAAUUCCUUCACACAAUUCCUAUCAUUGAAGGAUUAUUUAACCUUCACAUAACCCCUUUAACAGAAUUACUAACACUGAGAUCUUCAAUAAGAAAAUAUAAUUCAGAGUGAAAAGAAUGAAUAAAAUUGUGGACUAGUGUCUUUACAAGAAGAGUUAGAGACACUGAAGAUCUCUUAUUUCUCUGCACAUGCUCACAAAAGAAAGGUCAUGUGAGGACACAGUGAGAAGGUGGCCAUUUGCAAACUGAAGACAGAGUCCUCACCAGAAACUAACCCUACUACCAUCUUGAUCUUGAAAUUCCAGCCUCCAGAACUAUAAAGAUACAGACUAACAUCGAAUGUAAUGGUGAACAGCAAAGAAAAAGUUUUAACAUUCAAGGAUUUUAUAUUAAUGGGAGAAGAGAUAUAUAAAGAAAUAAACAGUUAACUAAGUUGCACUUCAGAAAGCUACUUAGAGAAAAAUUAAGCAUGCUUUGGAAAGGUCCCUGCUUCCUCUGAGUCUUCUACAGAUACAGCAAGAACCCAUUGGACGAGGUGACCCAUGGCUUUCUCCUAUAACUGGAGUAUCUUCUGGCCAGGCCCAUGGAGGAAUACUCCCUAAUAACCAAAUUCUGAGGCAUUCAUUCAUUAUCUUUAAAGCAGUGCUUCCCAAACUGUAACAUGUGACUUCACAACUCUUCAUAUCAAAAGAUGGAGUUCAUUUCCAACCUCUUUUAAUUCAGACUGGCCUUGGGACUUCUUUUGAGCAACAAAAUAUGGCAGGAAUAAUGUUGUGAUCUCUGAGCUGGAAUGGAGAUGAUUCCCAAAAAACCUUAGAAGGCAUUACUGAAGAUAGAAAAACCUCCCAGAGCCUGAUUUCUGAAUGAUUGUCCAUUUGGCAUAGUCACCAGGUGUGGAUGAAACGAGGCUUCACCCCUGAGUCUGCAACCUUAGACAAGUUUCUCCACAAUGCUACUCUGAGAUCAAGAUCUCAACUGUACAUCCUGGAGACAACACAACAACACAAGGGAAUAAAAUCUUAUACAACUGUCAGAGGUAUUGUGGAGUUCAAAUUAGAUGAUAUACAAUGACACCAAGGAAAAUACAUUGUGAAAUUUGACGAGAUUCUGAACUCAAAAAGAGAUGCUGCUCUAUUCAUUUCAAAACAACUCAUAAUAAAAGUGUUCCGCCGGGCGCGGUCGCUUAUGCCUGUAAUUCCAACACUUUGGGAGGCCGAGGCGGGCGGAUCACGAGGUCAGGAGACCGAGACCAUCCUGGCUAACGCGGUAAAACCCCGUCUCUACUAAAAAAAUACAAAAAAAUUAGUGGGGCGUGGUGGCAGGAGCCUGUAGUCCCAGCUGAGGCUGAGGCAGGAGAAUGGCGUGAACCCGGGAGGCGGAGCUUGCAGUGAGCCGAGAUCGCGCCACUGCACUCCAGCCUGGUCGACAGGGCGAGACUCCGUCUCAAAAAAAAAAAAAAAAAAAAAAAACAGUUUUCCAACUUAGCGUUUCCGGCAUUAACUAAUCACACCUCAAUCUCACUUUUAUUUUUGCUCUUCUUGUUUUUUUCAACUGGCACCUGGAGCAGGUCAGUCACAUUCCUCAUUUUUCAGGGACACCUUCGAUGCCAGAUUCUUUUUGCCUUCCGGUAAGAUUUUUUUUUUAGUAUCUUGGCCAUUUAGGGGGAGGGAGGAUAAGAAAUAAAGGGACAGUAUUAGAGCGUUAAUAAAUUGUUUUUUGUAAAUACGUUUUAGGAUGUUCACAUGUAGUGCUUCUUCAAGAUUUCUAAAAGUAUCUACGUUAUGGCUUCACUCUAUCAUUGUAAGCCUUACUAGGAUUCCUGAAUUUUGACAUAUAUUUAUUUUUUCUUCUGACUCAAGCUUUGAAUGACAAGAAUACUGUCAUGUUUUCUAUAUUUUCCACAAGAUAGAUAGAAUAAAAUACCCAUCAACUCUCUUUACACAUAGACUUUUUAAUAAAUUGUUUAAACUAUUCACAUCUCCAAUGGCUAAUUUGGGAUGAUACAGAAAUGCACAUGUUUUUAAAUAUAUAUCAAGAGCAUAUUAAACAAUUCCACAGCACAGAUGAAUAAUAUUGUUACCAGUGAAAUUCAUGCUGUAUCCUAAAACAAAUAGCCAAUAUUUGACAUAAUAAAGCAAAUAUCCUUUUACCUUUACUAUCAGUUUGGGGGCUGUUAAAUUAUUGGGGAAGUGGCAGGUAAAAUUUUCUUUUUAUCUUUUCUGAAAAUAAAAUAAUUUGGUAAUGUUCCAGGUCAGUAUACAAAGAGUUUUCUAAUUUAUGUAUAAAUUUUUAAAAUAAAGUAUAAUAGAGCAAAAAGCUCACUAGCAUUUAGAACUGUCCUGAUAACAGAAUGACAGGGCCUGGGCUUGAAUUUUGUGUAAAAAGAUUGUAGGUGCCAAAUCAUCUCCAUUUCUCAUAUCAUGAUUAAUUCUCCAGAGAAUUAUAGCAGGUACACAAAUUAGAAGAGCUCUUUGAAUCUUACUUUCAAAUUUGAAAAAGAAAAUGUGUAUUGUUUUGCAACAUAGCUUUUGAAUUAAUGUUUUUAAUUUAUAUUAUUAUUCUGACCUAAUAUUUAGGUAUUAUAUAUUUGAAAUAAAAAGAGAGGCCACCAUCAUAUUAAGCAUGACAUGAAGUACCUGGCAUAUUCUGAGUUAUGUGUACAGGUAAUUAGUUCUAACUCAAGGUAAUGUUCUCAUAAAUAGGGAACAAAUAUUACCAAAUUCAUUAAUUAGUCAUGCUUAUACUUCUGUCAUUUGGAAUAAUGUGUUUGCUUGAACUAAGGUUUCCUAUUUAUUAGAGUCAUUAAUGACUGUCAGUAAGAUACAGUGCUCUAACAUUUCACCAAUAUUUGAGAAACGCACAGGUAUUGCAUUUUUUUAACAGGGGACUAGUCUCAUUUUAUAUCUGUAUGGAAUGACAACCACAGUAUUAAAUUCCCUUGGCCUAUUUCUGCUACUUUCCUUUAUUUCAUUCAUCCUACUGUUUCCUUUAUUUCAUUCAUCCUCUACCAUUUUUAUUCUUAUAACACGUAUAUCAUUGUAUCAUAAUUACUUGUUUGCAUUUCUGCCUUCCUCCACUAAAGCACAUGAAUCAUUCUGCUUCUCAUAAGCAUCCUCAUUUAUUGUUUAAUGAAUUUAAACAUUCACUUAUACACAUAUAUUUCAAUAAAACUUUCAAAUAAACUAUUUUAACUAAAUUAAAAUAUUUUAGCUGUUAAUAUACGUAUGCAAUCAUUCUUCUGUGAAUAUAUGCAACAUACAUUACUUUGCAUUAUAUAUCUAAACACAAACACAAGGACUAUUGUAUUAGUCCUUUUUCAUGCUACUGAUAUAGACAUACCCAAGACUGGGUAAUUUAUAAAGAAAAAGAGGUUUAAAGGAAUCACAGUUCCAUGUGGCUGGGGAGGCCUCACAAUCAUGUUGGAAGGUGAAAGGCACAUCUUACAUGGCAGCAGCCAAGAGAGAAUGAAAGCCAACUGAAAAGGGAACAAGAAUAAAAAUAUAUAUCCAUGCUAAUGGGAGGUUGCUUAUAAGACAAUGUCUGACAUAUAUGAUUUAUUACAAGUUAUUGAUUCCAAUAUUUUUAAAAAUCUACCACAACACAUUAUCAACAAAAUAAAAUCACACAAAAUCCUGUUAAAUAUUUUGUUAUGAUAUUUUAUGCAACUUUUUAAAGCAUAUAUUAUUUCACCUAACUAAAAUGUAUAUGAAUAAUAUUUCUACAUUUUCAUAAUGAACUAAGGCAGCAUUUCCCAAAGAGUGUUUCAGAAAAUACGUCUUUAGAGAUGUUCUUUUUUUUUUUAUUAUACUUUAAGUUUUAGGGUACAUAAAAAUGAAUUAAUGUUAUAUAGAUUAAAAAUAAGCAUAUGAAAAUGUUCUCAACAACAUAAGUCAUCAGGGAAUUGCAAAUUAAAACAACGAGAUACCACUACGUACAUAUUAGAAUGAAUAUAAUAAAAAAAAACUAAAUUCAAAUUGCUGACAAAGAUGCAGAACAAGAAUUCUCACUCAUGCUGGUGAGAAUAUAAAAUGGCACAGCCACUUUGGAAGACCACUUGGCUAUUUCAUACAAAAACAACACUUUUCCUAUACAACGUAGCGAUCAUGCUACUAGAUAUUCAUCCAGCCAAAUUGGGAAUGUAUGACCACAUAAAAACCUAUAUGUUAAUGUUUAUAGUGACUUUAUUCAUAGUCAGCAAAAAUGGGAAACAAUCAAAAUGUCUUUCCAUAGAUGAACAGGUAAACUUGACACAUUCAUAUAAUGGAAUAUUAUUCAGCAAUUUAAAAAAUGAGCUCUCAAGCCAUGAAAAGGCAU
rnacentral:lncRNA from 10 species